UGUUCUCAAGUAUAUGCUUAGUACAUACAAAAUGAAUCAGAGGUUUGUCAAGUUUUUCUAUAUUUCAGUGCCUUGUAUAUAAAAAUUGUCGGUAUCUAAUUGAAAGUACCAUGAACUAUGUGGUUCAACAUUGUAACAAAUGUAGAAAUUAAACUAUGUGGUACACUUAAUAAAAUAUAUACUAUUUUUUGCACAAGUUUAGGAUUUUGGAAUGUACUCCUUAGAGUAUUGAAUGGAAUAAAUAUGGAGUACAAUAUUUUAUGAAUUAUAUUUUACAUCAGUAAAGUUUGCUAAACUAUAUUUUUGUUAUAUUCUAAGCUAUUUUCAUUAUUGACUUUUAGUUUGAUCCGAAGUCAAGAAGAAAUUGAAAUAAUGAUACAAUACUAUUAGAAUUUUAUACUUGAUUAACAUAUAGUUAUAGUUCUAGUUCUUGUUAGCCAAAAAUAGUCGAAUCAUUUACUUGAUUUAUUGACUUUUUCCAUCUUAAAUAGCCUCACUAGUUUAUUGGGUUGUAUAAAGAUUAAUAAAUUGUUGUUUUAUAAUAUACAUUUGAUAUAUAAUAUACUAAAUUCCAGUUUGUUUUAUAUUUGCAUAUUUAUUUGUUAUAUUAUUGUAUAAGUCUUGGAAGAUUUUAGUUAUGAGUGCCUAUAUGUGUAGCCAUUCCUUUAUUGUACAUAAGUAGUAAUACUUGCAAUCUCGAUUAUAUUUGAAUAUGAUUUAAAUAAAGAAAUAUAUAAAUCAAUAUGGUUCACUAGUAAUAAAUGUGUGACAGUAAAGAUAUAUUUACAUAUUAAUAAUUAUGAUUGGAUUGGUUUUCUCUAGUCUCGAUUUAACAAAAUUUCCUUGGUAUGUAUGUUAGAAAUCUUAUUAUUUGCUUGAUCUUGCAAAGAACUUAAAUGUAUACAAUUUCAUUGGUAGAUAUGAUUUUUAUAAUAUGAUUUAGUGGCCUAUUCAACAAGCUUUCUAGCAUGUGGAUUUUCAUGGACUGCUUCAUCACAUUUUUUCUUAUGUUUUUUCUUAUAAUCUUAACAUUUGACUGUCUAAUUAAUAAUUAAGUUGAUUAUAGAAUUUUAAAUAACAUGACUUGGGGUAAUAACAUGAUAUGGAACAUACAUCUAACUUUUUUAUUUUUUAUAAUGUUAAUAAUAAUGUUUAGGUUAAUAUUUUGAUUGAUCUUAAAGCAUUGGAUCAGUAGCUAAUUACAAAAGGUAGUUGACAGAAUGAAACAUUUGGUUUUGGAGCAAGAAAAGCAAUAUCCAUCUGGAGUAAGAUGACAACUUUCAAAUGCACAUGUUUAUCGGGUUCGAGUGCAUCGGGUCUCGGGUGGGGAAAGCACAUAUCGAACCCAUCCGAAUUGGGGUCGAAUGUGGUCAGGUUCGAGUUUGGAUUUCUCGAGUGGGGAUCAUUCAGGUUCAGAUUGGACAGACCAAGAAAAUGAGUGCAACUUGAUGUGGAUGGGUCUCUUUGUCGCAGUGAAGGAGGAGGCGUUAACUGCCGUUAAGCAAGGAGAACAGAAGAGAAGGAAGGGAAUAAGAAGAGAAGGGGACAAGACCAUUUUGGGUCGGUGAUUGGCUGGCCUGUGGUUGGUAGUGGUGGUGUGUCUCGGCGUCGAUGAGGGGAGAGAGUGACGGAUCGAGGGAGAGGGUCGAGAAGAGGAGGAGGAAUCGAGAGGGAAAGGCGAGGCAAUAUGAGAAUUAGGGAUGAUGGUGGUGUGUCUCGGUGCCGAUGAGGGGAGAGAGUGAGAGAUCGAGGGAGAGAGUCGAGAAGAGGAGGAGGAGUCGAGAGAGGGAGUGGCGAUAGGAGACGAGAAUUAGGGAUUAGGGUUCUGCUUUUUUAUUUUUUUAAUUUUAAGAUAUAUGAUAUAUUAUUAUUAUUUAUAAUAAAAACUGGAAAAAAAAUUAAAUAUUUCGGGUGGGCUCGGGUUACACCCGAACCCGAAGUGCAUUAGCUAUGGGAUCCGAACUCGACCCUACAACGCAGUCGAGUUACACUCAAUUCGACCCGACAGUAUGGGUUUUGCAGUUUUUUCGGGUCUCUCGGGUUCAGGUUGGUUGGGUUCAUUAGGUGGGCGGGUUUUCGGGUCCAAAUGUAUAGCCGUAGUUAUU